AUUGAACGCUGGCGGCAGGCCUAACACAUGCAAGUCGAGCGAGCGGCGGACGGGUGAGUAAUGUCUGGGAAACUGCCUGAUGGAGGGGGAUAACUAGUGGAAACGGUAGCUAAUACCGCAUACCAUCAGAUGUGCCCAGAUGGGAUUAGCUAGUAGGUGGGGUAACGGCUCACUUAGGCGACGAUCCCUAGCUGGUCUGAGAGGAUGACCAGCCAUACUGGAACUGAGACACGGUCCAGACUCUGACGGUAGGCAGCAGUGGGGAAUAUUGCACAAGGGGCGCAAGCCUGAUGCAGCCAUGCCGCGUGUGUGAAGAAGGCCUUCGGGUUGUAAAGCACUUUCAGCGGGGAGGCGUUACCCGCAGAAGAAGCACCGGCUAACUCCGUGCCAGCGGCCGCGGUAAUAC
rnacentral:rRNA from 1 species